UGUGGUGUUCUGCUGAAGCAAGAUGAAUUUGGCAGCACAGGAGACAGUCUGCCCUGGGUCAGGCCUCCUCUCCCCAUGGUCACAGGUCAAUGUUUAAACAAGAGGCCUUGAAACUUCACAGUUCUACUUUGACCUGUAAUUUGUAUGGCUUAGACUUCAUGUUUCUUGGACUUGGAGAGCUCAGGAUUUAGAGUGGACACACUGGACCUCCUGCUGCUGAAUCUGUGCUCUGAAGUGCUGCCUCAGAGGAAUUUACUGCAUU